rnacentral:rRNA from 1 species
UACAUGGGGUGCAAACGUUGCUCGGAAUUAUUGGGCGUAAAGAGCUCGUAGGCGGUUUGUCGCGUCUGCCGUGAAAGUCCGGGGCUCAACUCCGGAUCUGCGGUGGGUACGGGCAGACUAGAGUGAUGUAGGGGAGACUGGAAUUCCUGGUGUAGCGGUGAAAUGCGCAGAUAUCAGGAGGAACACCGAUGGCGAAGGCAGGUCUCUGGGCAUUAACUGACGCUGAGGAGCGAAAGCAUGGGGAGCAAACGGG